GCUUACGGCCAUACCACCCUGAAUGUGCCCUAUCUCGUCUGAACUCGGAAGCUAAGCAGGGCCAUGCCUGGUUAGUACUUGGAUGGGAGACUGCCUGGAAUACCAGGUGCUGUAAGCU
rnacentral:rRNA from 1 species